rnacentral:rRNA from 1 species
UGGGGAAUUUUGCGCAAUGGGGGAAACCCUGACGCAGCAACGCCGCGUGAGUGAUGAAGGCCUUCGGGUCGUAAAGCUCUGUCAGAGGGGAAGAAAUGCAGGGGUGCUAAUAUCAUCUUUGCUUGACGGUACCCUCAAAGGAAGCACCGGCUAACUCCGUGCCAGCAGCCGCGGUAAUACGGAGGGUGCGAGCGUUGUUCGGAAUUAUUGGGCGUAAAGCGCGUGUAGGCGGUUUGGUAAGUCUGAUGUGAAAGCCCCGGGCUCAACCUGGGAAGUGCAAUGGAAACUGUCAGAAUUGGAUACGGGAGAGGGUAGUGGAAUUCCUAGUGCAGGAGUGAAAUCCGUAGAUAUUAGGAGGAACACCGGUGGCGAAGGCGGCUACCUGGACCGAUAUUGACGCUGAGACGCGAAAGCGUGGGGAGCAAACAG